CUCAAAUGCCACGUGUGUGCUGCGUAUGGAGAUUGUAACGGCACGGAGAUUGGCGAACUUCAGACUUGCCCGAGUGGGCGUGAUGGUCCCGUGUCCAAACAGUGCUUGAAAUUCGACGGGGAAUUCUCCGCAACCAUUCAUGAAGGAAUCCCAUACUCUUUCGAGGGAGUCCUGCGCUAAUGCCUCGUCCUUCCGGCAAACCAGGAAGCUCCGCCCCUCCAGUGUUUCUCAGGCUCCGACGCUCUUGCGAACUAUCGCUACAUAUUUGGACUUCCGGCGACUAAUGAGACCUCUUUUACGGGCGAUCUCUGCCUCUGCGCUAGCGACGGCUGUAACGGCGUAGACUCCCUCAAGCCGUUCCUCUGGCUGAUCCUCACCGUGGGCCAGAUGCACUUGCUGCUGAUGUAAAUGCUAGCCGGCGUGUACGUUUUUGACAUAAAAAGUCGCUCAGAUUAGAAUCAGCAGUAGACUUACUUUUGAAUAGUUAGACUACGUUUAUUCUGCUGCAACUUAUUCUGCUGCAAAUAUUUCACAUUUUUAGCGUAGGAUAUUACAGCCUUGUUUGCGUGUUAUCUUGGCACUAAUUAUGCAUUUUCCCGCGCGUAGACUUUUACCAUUCCAAUUUAAUUGUGAAACAAAAUACAUCUAAACCCACAUGAUAAGUGCAUAUUUAACAAGUAAUGACUGCUUGGAAUGGUGUUUGUUACAUCACGUUUUACUACAUCAUGUUUGCUAGUUUACUACAUCACGAGAUAAUGCCGUCAAUAUUUUUUUAUAACACCUCUCCCACAGAUUCUGCUUGAUUUUAAGCGAUAACCGAUUACCUGUAUACACAUAACUGUGUUUCUAUUUGACUACGACAUCAAUUGCAACUUUACUAGCACUUUUCUAAACUACCCUUCACAAAUAUUUUGAACCCAGCUCUGUAGCCCAACUGAUAACACGGAACACUACGCGCAACGCUUAACGUGCACGUCCAUAUUCAUCUGCACAUUGUUCUUUGGUUGCUACGGAUAUAGUACUUUGGUUGCCCGUGAUUGGCCGUGCAAAACAAGAUGGCAAAAUAGUGAAGGCCACAGGGCUUUUUACUUCAUUAUUGCAUUGUUGACAAAUUAAAUUAAAGGAGACGAGACUGAUUUUGUCAAAUCAUUGUGUAUGAAGAAUAUAUUGCGGAAAUUGGUGAAUUGAACUACGCUAUUAUCCAAAAACAAAAGUUCCAAGUUUCAUUAACGAACCAUACAAUAUCUGUCUUGUGCAUUAAUAAUGAUGUGUCUUUCUCAACCACUGAUCAACGAGUUUAUAAUGUAACUGCGUGUGGGAGAAAUGCAGCCACUUCAAAGAAAGAAUUGAUCAAAUGAUUUUAAUUUUGCAAUUUUCUUAAAACUGACUUUUCUUUUUAUGGAGAUCAGAACUGUCGAUUGGUACGCAGUGUCAAGGCUGGAUUCUUGUACAUGGGGAAAAACAUCCUGAGUUCAACACUAAGAGUACAAGGAACCAAGCGUUUAUUUAUUGAGAUUCAAAACCUAUAUGUUGUAUUUACUUAGUUUCCUGUUGGGAAAAACCCUUUGCAAGAAAUAUUCCGCUCAGAGUAAAAGUGACCGAAACGUUCCACUGGUAACCGGCUACCAGCAAGCUGAGUGUGCUGAUACAGACUGAUGUCAUAGCGCCCUCUUGAGACAUUUAAAAAGUUAUACAACGCCGUGAUGAAUGCCAACUUUUGUCUAACAUAAAGCGGCUCGUGUUCAGUAUUGUCGCAUGAGUUUGGAUUUUGCUCAACCACAAUCUUUCGGGUAUCUCUCGUAAGUCAAGUUCAGACUCUGAACAAUUUGUUUUGGUUGGCGACCAAGAGGGCACUAAUUUAGUUUUCGCGGUUACCUUUUUCCCGAAGCAAAAUGAAAUUGCGCCCUCAUAUUCUGGUUGCCAUAUCUCACAAAUGGUGUGCCAGCUUUCAUGGAUUGACCAGUAACAACAGUGAAGUAAAAUCGCACUUCAAAAACAAUGACGUCACUUUUACCUUAAACUGAAUGUAUAAAGUCGUUUUCUGCUUUUGCUUCUCUUUGACAAAUUCACGUUUCGAGAGAUGUUGCCAUCAAUAAAGAUUUUGUACUGCAAACAAUA